rnacentral:rRNA from 1 species
AGAGUUUGAUCCUGGCUCAGAACGAACGCUGGCGGCAGGCUUAACACAUGCAAGUCGCACGGGCAGCUUCGGCUGUCAGUGGCGGACGGGUGAGUAACGCGUAGGUAUCUAUCCUUGGGUGGGGGACAACCGUGGGAAACUACGGCUAAUACCGCAUGAUGUCUGAGGACCAAAGGCGCAAGUCGCCUGGGGAGGAGCCUGCGUACGAUUAGCUAGUUGGUGGGGUAAAGGCCUACCAAGGCGACGAUCGUUAGCUGGUCUGAGAGGAUGAUCAGCCACACUGGGACUGAGACACGGCCCAGACUCCUACGGGAGGCAGCAGUAGGGAAUCUUGGACAAUGGGCGAAAGCCUGAUCCAGCCAUGCCGCGUGAGUGAUGAAGGCCUUAGGGUUGUAAAGCUCUUUCGCCAGGGAAGAUAAUGACGGUACCUGGAUAAGAAGCCCCGGCUAACUUCGUGCCAGCAGCCGCGGUAAUAC